UACGGGAGGCAGCAGUGGGGAAUAUUGCACAAUGGGCGAAAGCCUGAUGCAGCUAUGCCGCGUGUAUGAAGAAGGCCUUAGGGUUGUAAAGUACUUUCAUCGGGGAGGAAAAACAAAACUAAUAAUUUUAUUUCUUGACGUUACCCGAAAAAGAAGCACCGGCUAACUCCGUGCCAGCAGCCGCGGUAAUACGGAGGGUGCUAGCGUUAAUCAGAAUUACUGGGCGUAAAGAGCACGUAGGUGGUUUUUUUAAAGUUAGAUGUGAAAUCCCUGGGCUUAACCUAGGAACUGCAUUUUGAAACUGAAAUACUAGAGUAUCGUAGAGGGAGGUAGAAUUCUAGGUGUAGCGGUGAAAUGCGUAGAUAUCUGGAGGAAUACCUGUGGCGAAAGCGGCCUCCUAAACGAAUACUGACACUGAGGUGCGAAAGCGUGGGGAGCAAACAGGGAUUAGAUACC
rnacentral:rRNA from 1 species